rnacentral:rRNA from 1 species
UACAGAGGUCUCAAGCGUUGUUCGGAUUCAUUGGGCGUAAAGGGUGUGUAGGUGGCGCCGUAAGUCGGGUGUGAAAUUUCGGAGCUUAACUCCGAAACUGCAUUCGAUACUGCGGUGCUUGAGGACUGGAGAGGAGACUGGAAUUCAUGGUGUAGCAGUGAAAUGCGUAGAGAUCAUGAGGAAGACCAGUGGCGAAGGCGAAUCUCUGGACAGUUCCUGACGCUCAUGCACGAAGGCCAGGGGAGCAAACGGG